UCCUGUCUCCCGGACGAGGACCUCAACCCCUUCCCCCGCUCGGGGACCCCGGCCACCCGCAGCCCGGCCGCGCUGCGCCCAGAAACCCAUGAGUCUUCCUCAGCAGCUGUCGAAACUUGCCGGCGGUUGCUUGCUCACCUUUGCUGUCUCCCCUUCAGAAAAGGCUGGAGGGGAGGGCGAGGAAGGCUUGGCGUGGGGACGCCCGUCGAGUCUCUCAGUGAGGAAUGAGAGGCCAGCUUCUCCUGCGGGGUAUGAAGGAGGAACUGUAUCUCCUAUAUAUAUUAAGUUUCAUUUAUAAAGACAUCAGAGAGCACCUGAGAAUGUUUCAAGGUCACCAAAAGCUUUCUGAAAAUGCCUUUCUGCAAAGAAGGUUUCCAGUACUUUCAGGGAGAGUGUUAAUUGGAUUGGAAGGAAGACACUGAUGAGCUGCUGGGAGUGAGAGUGAGACCCUCGAGGAGUCCACAGUGCAUUUUAAGGAGUGGAGAUAGAAGAUAACUCAGGAAGCUUAGAAGAGGUCAACCUGGGAAGACAGGAUUCUUUCUCCCCACCCGUGGCUCUGCAGGAAGCAAUACCCUCCCCUCUGGGCAAGGUCGACCCUCCAAGUCCAGAUGAGAAGAGUUCCCUCUGUCUGCUCUUUCCUCUGCCUGAUGACCCAGAGGCUUUGCAGCUGUGAUCCUGGCAGCCCCUGGCCACCUCAGGGAGCUGCAGAAUUCAAACCCUGGAAAUGGAGCUCUGCUUGCAGCUGCACCUGGGGCCUGACCUGCUUAGGACAGGCCUGUCUGGACCUAAGAGAACCCCACUGCCACCCACUCAGCUACUCCCUAACAGACUGCAGAGACCAAGUCUUUUUCAUUUCUUUAUAUCCAUUGAUUUCUCGAGUUAUUGAAACUCAAUAUUUACUGAGCACCUACAAUGUGCCAGGCACUGUGAUAGGCACUGAAGAAAGGGCAAAGGACGAGCAGAUAAAUUUCCUACUUGCAGGGAACACCGUGGUAGUGAGUAAAAUGAGACAUUGCAAAUAAACACAUAAAUAUAUAAUAUGUCAACUGGCAAUAAUUGAUGCGAAGAAUGAUUAAGCAAAACAAGGAAAUGCAGAGACAGGGAAGGAGCAUCUAUCUGGUAUGAAGUAGUCAGAGAAGGCCUCUCUGGUCAGAUGACAUUUGGGCAGAACCUGGGGCCUGUCUCAGCACCACCUGUUCCUUCCUCGGCCACUUGCUCCCUGCAGCCACCAAAGGCCCCUGUGGUUUUCCCGCCUGAGGCUCACCAGCCACAGGCCUAGAAUAUCUGGCUUCUCUCCCCACGUCCAAACUCAGCUGAAAUGCCAAACUGCAGGACCUUGUUUCCUGAGCAACUGCCAAUGGGGCUGAAUGAUGCAACUCGGAAAGGAAGAGGAUUUCAUUCCCCCUGAAUGGACUUUGCACCAGUGGGAGACAGGAAACAGGAGAUUGGAGGAUACUGGGCAGCUGAACUGCCUCACCCUUUCCCCCUGCCCCGUCUGGUGCACAAUUUCUCCACACAGCCUGCUGUGUGUGGCCAAGCCUGUGCGCCGACUGAGUGUUAUGGGUUGAACUAUGUUCCUCAGAAAGAUAUGUCGAAGUCCUAACCCCCAGUAACUGUGAAUGUGGCUUUAUAGUAUUUGGAAACAGGGUCUUUGCUGAUGCAAUCAAGUUAAGAUGAAGUCAUUAAGGGGGUAGGGGCCUAAUCCAAUCUCUUGUCCUUAGAAGGAGAAAGACAGAGACACAUCAGGGGAAGAUGGUGAGGUGACAAUGGAGGCAGAGAUUGGAGCAAUUUAUCUAAAUGCUAGGCAACGCCACAGAGAGCUGCAAACACCAAGGCUAGAAGAGGCAGGGAAGGAGCCUCCCCUACAGGUUUCAGAGGGAGCAUGGCCUCACCAUACCUUUACUUCAGACUUCUAGCAUCCAGAACUGUGACACAACACAUUUCUGUUGUUCUGAGUGACAACAGUGUGUGGUGUGUUAUUACAGCUGCUCUAGAAACUAACAUAUCGAGCAGCCAGCUGUGUGGGAUUGUACCUCCCAAGUAACCCUCUAAGACUUAACCUUUGCCCAGGGCUCUGUCUCUAGAGAACUGUGACAAUGAUAGGUAGACCUGAAUAAAGCGAAGGAUGAUAUCUGCAGGGAUAUUUGAGGACAGGGAGUGCUGACAAGGGAGGAGCCAGUGCAAAGGCCCCGAGGUGGCAGUAUGCUUGGUGUGUUGGAGGAGCAGGAAGGUGACCAGGGUGUUUGGGGAGUGAAUAAGGGGAAGAGUGCUCAGAGGAGAAGUCAGAGGAGGGGCCAAAGACAUGUUCUCUAGGGCCAGAAAGGCCUUUGGAUCUUUUCGACAUUAUCUUCUUGACAUGUAAUUUAUAUAGUAGUAAAAUGAACAAAAUGGGUGACUAUUUUGUGAAUUUUUUAGAUACAUAAAACCACGUGAUCACUAUCCAGAUCAAAUGUUGAACAUUUCCAUCACCCCAGAGAGUUCACUCCUGCUACCUUCCAGUCAAUACAACUUACCAAUCCUGAGGCAACCAGUACUCUCUCUUUUAUCAUCAUAAAUUUGUUUUAACCUGUUCCUUAAUGGCAUAUAAAUGAAACUACAUAGCAUGCUUUUGCUCAAAAUAGUGCUUGUGAGGUUCAUCCAGGUUGCUGUAUGUAUACUUCAAUUAUUAUUAUUGCUGAGUAGUAUUCCAUUGCCUGGAUAUAUCACAAAUUAUUUAUCCAUUCUUCUGCUGAAUAUUUGAGUUAUUUGCAGUUUAGGCCUAUAAUAAAUGAAGCCGCUAGGAACAUUUAUGUGUUCCUCUUAUUUUGGUUGCAUGCAAUCAUUUCUCUUGGUAUAAACCUAGCAGUGUAUUUUCUGGGUCAACUGGCUUAGGUUUAGGUUAACUGUAUUCGUUUACACCAUUUUAUACUCCCGUCAGCAAUAUAUGAGUUCCAGGUAUUCUGCAUCCUCACCAACACUUGGAGCCUUUCUGGUAGGUGUGUAGUGGCAUUGCAUUGUGCUUUCAAUAUGCAUUUUUCUGCUGACUAAUGCACUCCUUUUUAUAUGCCUAUUAUUCACAUAUCUCCUUUUAUGAAGUAGGUAUUCAAGUCUUUUAUUCACAUUUUAUGUUUUGUUAUGGCCACAUCUCACUUCCAGAAUCUGUAUUGGUUAUCUAUCGCGCAUUAAAAAAGUACUCUAAAGCUUGACAGCUAAAAACAACAAACAUUCAUUCUCUCACACAGUCUCUGCAGGUCAGGAACCUGGGUGCAGCUUCAUGGGGUGGUUCUGGCUCAGGGUCUCAGGUUGCAUUUGAGCUGCUGUCUGAGGUUACAGCCCUACCUAUCAAAGCUGAACCAGAGCCAGACUCCAUGUCUAAACUCACUUAUGUGAGCUUCAGUGUGAGAAAUGUAUGAAUUUUGUUUGAUGAAAUAUUGAAAAGCUUAACAACUUCCUCCUACUCUCAUUGGCCUCUUGGUGCCCAGUAUCUGAGUCUGAAAAAUCUCAUCUAUAGGAAUCAAUGGCAGCAAAGACAGAACCAAGGUCCCACGGCUAUUGGGGAGGUUGGCAGAUGAGUGAGGAAAAAGGGGUGUCAGCAAUCUAAAAAUAUUCAGGCUCACAGAAAUAUAACUGUUUGAAAUGACUCACUUUUAUUAAGAUCCUGCCAUCUCACUUACCAGCUUAAAAAAAAAUAGAUCACAGCAGAAUGUUUCAAAUUCUCCAUAAAUGGCCAUUUGAUCCAGCAACCUACCUGUGGAAAUUUAUGCCAAGAUUAGAAUCUACAAAAUACAUACAGAGAUGCACAUUGAAGUAUUAUUUAUUAGGAAUCUAAAUUGUGGAAUCAUUAAAGAGAAUACAUAUUCCCUCAAAAGAAUACCAUGGUGUUAUUAAAAGUAGUCAUUAUGAGUGGUUAGGAUAUAAUAUAAUAUUACAGGAAAUUCUUAGGAUAUACCAUCAAGUAGAAAAACUUUUCUUCCCAGCUUUUCAAUGUGAAAAUGUUUAAACCUACAGGAAAGUUGUAAGGCCAGAACAAUAAAUGCUUGUAUAGCCUUCAUCUAGAUUCUCCAACAGUGACCACAGUUGCCACAUCUCUUUAAGUGUAAUGCUCAUCCUUUGAGAGUAAGUGCAGACAUUUUGAUACCAUGCUCUAAGUACUACAACACCUAUCUAAAAUUGUAGAAGGAAACUCUUCUAUGAUUUUCACACUCAAGACAUUUAACACUGAUAUAAAGUUUAUAUUCAAAUUUCUCCAAAAGAUUUAAAACUAUCUCUUUGGCUUGUGUUAUCCAGGACUCAAUGGAGGAUUGAGCAUUGCAUUUAGUUGUUGUGCCUCUUUAGUUUUUUUUGAUCUAAAACAAUCCCUCAACCAUUUUUAAAAAUUCUUUCAUGACAUUGACAUUUUUAAAAGACUCUGGAACAGUCAUUUUACAGAAUAUCCUUCAAUUUGGAUGUGUCUGUUUCCUCAAGAUUAGAAAUUACAUGAACUUCUUGGCUAACUUCUCCAUUUUAUUUUGUGUUCAAAAUAUAUUACUCUUUCCCAUGUCCUGUGAAAAUAAAAAAUCUCUAAUGUGUUUGUGAAAAAGAUUAAGCUAAGAUUUUGUUUGGAUGCAGUGUGAUUUGGACUUAGGUGUGUGUAUCUGAACUUCAUCCUUUGUCAUCAAAAGAAUAGUAUAAUAACUAAGAACAUGUAGCUUAAGAAAUCCAGGCACUUGAGAGCCACUGUAAGUAAACUCUAAUUCCCACAGCAGAAAGAUAGGUACCAUUGUCUUAAAGAAAUCUCUGCGACAGAGUCAACAUCAUACACUCUAAGCUCUAGAGCUAUAUUUUGUAAAAACAAAAAAGGUUUCCCUGCUUCACUUUGCCUGCGGACCCCCUUCUGAUGAACUCCACUCAGGGUAAGCCUGCCUUGUUCCUGGAGCCCUCUUCCUCUGGCUGCAAUCCAGAGCAAGUUGCUGUCUGGACUUGUUGAAAAGCUGUUGUCCUGAGACUUCUCUUCAAAUUCUAAGGAAAAAUUUACUUUUUCUCAGGAUUCUAAACCCAAUCAAAUAAUCAAGUGUAAAGGCAAAAUAGAUACAAAAUGUACCUUGCAAAUACUCUAGGAAGCUACUGGAAGAAAGGCUUCAGCAAAUAAAGGAAGUGUAUGAAGAAAGAAAGAAGCAUGGCACAUUGCUACCUUAACUAAUAAAAAUCUCUGAACUUUCCGGUCCCAUCUGAGGAAGCAAAAAUGCUACUUGCUGCAAAAACGACACCAUUUAUCACACUGCAACAAAAGCAAUGUAUAGGCAUGCCUUGGGGAUAUGUGAGUUUGAUUCCAGACUACUUCAAUAAAAUGAAUACUGCAAUGA
rnacentral:lncRNA from 1 species